rnacentral:rRNA from 1 species
CAGUAGCCGCGGUAAUACGAAGGGGGCUAGCGUUGUUCGGAAUUACUGGGCGUAAAGCGCACGUAGGCGGAUUUUUAAGUCAGGGGUGAAAUCCCGAGGCUCAACCUCGGAACUGCCUUUGAUACUGGAGAUCUUGAGUUCGGAAGAGGUUGGUGGAACAGCUAGUGUAGAGGUGAAAUUCGUAGAUAUUAGCUAGAACACCAGUGGCGAAGGCGGCCAACUGGUCCGAUACUGACGCUGAGGUGCGAAAGCGUGGGGAGCAAACAGGAUUAGAUACCCGUGUAGUCCCUGUCUCUUAUAC